UACGUAGGGGGCUAGCGUUGUCCGGAAUCAUUGGGCGUAAAGAGCGUGUAGGCGGUCCGGUAAGUCAGGUGUGAAAACUCCAGGCUCAACCUGGAGACGCCACUUGAUACUGCUGUGGCUAGAGUCCGGUAGGGGAGCAUGGAAUUCCUGGUGUAGCGGUGAAAUGCGCAGAUAUCAGGAGGAACACCAGUGGCGAAGGCGGUGCUCUGGGCCGGAACUGACGCUGAGGAGCGAAAGCGUGGGGAGCAAACAGG
rnacentral:rRNA from 1 species